UGGAAUGAGAUGUUGGGUUCUCACCAAUUGGCUCUCCUGAUGGGACCUACUUCAUUUUCAGGUGGGAGUUGCAACAUAUACCCAAAUUUGCUAGUUGUCACAAUGUGAGGCACUCACUACCAAACUUUGAUAGUGUAAGGUAUGUAGCUUAACCAAACCUUGGGACAAUAGUGAUAGAGAUGCCAAGUCCACUUCCCCCUGCCCCACCCUAUUGGGAUGCAAGAGAUGGAUACCUUGCAAAGAUGGCCAUGCUUUACACUGAAUUCCAUGCAACCAUGAUGAGAUUACCCUAAAAUUCUCACCUUCCAAACACCAACCCCACCUCCCCAUCUACGUCCUCUCUCACUGUUCUUAUAUUAACAACACAAGCAGUGACUCCCCUCCUCCACAUACUUGAAAGGCUAUUACCACAUGGAGACCGACCCAUCUCCAUGGCGCUCAGCAUGCGUCCCAGGCUGCAUGGCCUCUCCAUCAUGGUUCCCGGUGUAUAGAAAUCCCUCUCGCUUCCACCUCCUCGGCCACGAGACCACCGAAAGGAGCCGGAGCUGGCGAAAGCUCCUCAAGAGAUUGUUGAAGGAAGGGAAGAGCAUAUGCUGCACCGAACCCCUCAAAUUUGGUUAUGAUGCAGUCAGUUACUCUAAAAACUUUGAUGAUGGUUGCUGGAAUGAGAGAUCUGGUUAGUGUUUCAAGGAUGCCGGUUGGUGGUGAAUGCGAGCUUCCUAAAGCUUUUUGUUACUGUUUUUGAUUUUAUUCGAAGGUUUAUAUGGUCUUUGGAUGAUGUUGGAUUGUGGGUGUUACUCUUUUAUAUUAGAUGGUAAUGUUGCUACUUACGAUGUCGCAGAUAUUCUCCUCUUCCUCCUAAUUAAGCAAGCUUCUAAUGCAUAGUUUUGAACAACAAAUAAUGUGUAAAUUAAACCAUUUCUAAACAGGAAAAAAUGAUUCUAUUUUACUGACUGGAAAAAAAAUCUACAGAAUUUUAGGCGUAUUGUCCAGAGGAUCAUAAUUGCAUUGAUUGUUUAUAUAGCAACUCAAUGACAUGAGCAAAUAAAGCAACCCGAAGAGUCAUCAACCUGAGAAGCCAAUGCAAUGAAACCUAUAAUGUGAUCUUUACAUUUUAAAUGGCAAGUUCAUGAACCCUUAACAAGUUUGAGCAGUUAACACAGAAUAGCAUUUCACUAUCCAUUAUCUAAGACGGUGGUAAAGGAAAAAACCAGUUAAAAUAACAUUUCAGUUUAAAGUACAGAAUUCUAUUACCAUCAAUCACUAAAAGUUGUGAUUCACAAGAAUCUGUCAGUGUUUCUGAUUACGGUGCAGCAUCUGGAAAAGAGAAGCUUUAUAAAAUUAUAACAACAGUGUUUAACAUCAGAAAAAUAGUUCGACGAUCACACCAAAACUUAUGAACUGAUAUUCAGUCAUUACUACAUGUCAUAAAGCAGAGGCUGAAUUCCUGGAUCUUGGAACCUCAAAUUAUCAAGCUUUAUCUUUAAACAAUCUAAAAAACAAAAUAAAACGAGAUGGUGAAUGAUUACUUUUCUAACUCAUUAUGUAUCAUUGCAAGGCCUUGAAAUAGUAAGGCUGGCAGAGACGGUCAAGAGCAUGAAUCAGCUUCCUUCUUGGCCCAACUGCAUGGGCUCCCAUGUCUUUGAGUUUGCUCAUUGUGAGACUGACCAACUGAUAGACACCUAGUUUUUCCCUCUCAAAAAUUUUUAUGAAUCGAUCAAGACCCUGAUACACCAGCCAAUUUCUCAGUCCACCAAACCCUUUGAGCUCCCUUUCAAGGUUCAAUGCUCGCAUUCGCUGAUUCACAACAUGUAAUGCACCAACUGGCAGCCUUGGGGCACCUCCAAUCAUUCCUGAGGGUCUGAUUGUUCUUCUUCUGUCAGGGACUGCAACAUUUCCAUCACCAGUAAAAUGAAGUAAAGAUGCCCGUUGCAAUAAUGGGUUUCCAAAAACGUCACCAGAACCAUUAGCCAGGGUUUGAU
rnacentral:lncRNA from 1 species